CACAAGCUCUUAAUACACAGAAACAAAGUACUCUCUUCCUCUAUCUUUAUCUCUAUAGAUUCUCCACGUUUAGAGUUUUUUCCCACGUUCAAAGCUCUCGCCCACAGAGAGAGAGAGAGAGAGAGAGAGAGAGAGAGAGAGAGAGAUGGCCGCCAUUAAAGUCUGCAACUUGCUCUUGCUGCUCUUCACUGUGAUUCUUCUAGUUGAAGGAUCUGGAAAUGAACCUCUAGCUCCGUCCGCACAUAGCGUGGCGAGUUCUUCACCGCUGCAACGUCAGGAGAGGAUGAUGAAGAGUGGAUGGAGAAGGAAGAUCAUGAUUGGAUCGACGGCGCCUAUAUGCACAUACAAUGAAUGUAGAGGCUGCAAAUACAGAUGCAGAGCCGAGCAAGUCCCCGUUGAAGGCAACGAUCCCAUCAACAGUCCUUACCGUUACAGAUGUAUUUGUCACAGAUGAAUACAUGCAUACAUGCAUGUAUGUGGUCACCCCAGUUUUUUGGCUAUAUUUUCAUGUUGGUAUCAAUAUUAUAUUGUAGCUAGGGUUUUUGUUUUUUUUUUUCCUCUUCAUUUUGUCUCCUUGUGUGGGCUUUUUGUUUCUUUGUUUUAGAUUUUCAAUGACUUUGCUCUUGUGGGUUUGCGCCGAACAGCCA